GAUGAACGCUGGCGGCGUGCCUAAUACAUGCAAGUCGAGCGAACAGAUGAGGAGCUUGCUCCUCUGACGUUAGCGGCGGACGGGUGAGUAACACGUGGAUAACCUACCUAUAAGACUGGGAUAACUUCGGGAAACCGGAGCUAAUACCGGAUAAUAUAUUGAACCGCAUGGUUCAAUAGUGAAAGACGGUUUUGCUGUCACUUAUAGAUGGAUCCGCGCCGCAUUAGCUAGUUGGUAAGGUAACGGCUUACCAAGGCGACGAUGCGUAGCCGACUUGAGAGGGUGAUCGGCCACACUGGAACUGAGACACGGUCCAGACUCCUACGGGAGGCAGCAGUAGGGAAUCUUCCGCAAUGGGCGAAAGCUUGACGGAGCAACGCCGCGUGAGUGAUGAAGGUCUUCGGAUCGUAAAACUCUGUUAUUAGGGAAGAACAAAUGUGUAAGUAACUAUGCACGUCUUGACGGUACCUAAUCAGAAAGCCACGGCUAACUACGU
rnacentral:rRNA from 1 species